AUGCAAGUCGAGCGAACAGAGAAGGAGCUUGCUCCUUUGACGUUAGCGGCGGACGGGUGAGUAACACGUGGGCAACCUACCUUAUAGUUUGGGAUAACUCCGGGAAACCGGGGCUAAUACCGAAUAAUCUGUUUCACCUCAUGGUGAAAUAUUGAAAGACGGUUUCGGCUGUCGCUAUAGGAUGGGCCCGCGGCGCAUUAGCUAGUUGGUGAGGUAACGGCUCACCAAGGCGACGAUGCGUAGCCGACCUGAGAGGGUGAUCGGCCACACUGGGACUGAGACACGGCCCAGACUCCUACGGGAGGCAGCAGUAGGGAAUCUUCCACAAUGGGCGAAAGCCUGAUGGAGCAACGCCGCGUGAGUGAAGAAGGAUUUCGGUUCGUAAAACUCUGUUGUAAGGGAAGAACAAGUACAGUAGUAACUGGCUGUACCUUGACGGGGCCUUAUUAAAAAGCCACGGCUAACUACGUGCCAGCAGCCGCGGUAAUACUUAGGUGGCAAGCGUUAUCCGGAAUUAUUGGGCGUAAAGCGCGCGCAGGUGGUUUCUUAAUUCUGAUGUGAAAGCNACGGCUCAACCGCGGA
rnacentral:rRNA from 1 species